rnacentral:rRNA from 1 species
GGGGAAUAUUGGACAAUGGGGGAAACCCUGAUCCAGCCAUGCCGCGUGUGUGAAGAAGGUCUUAGGAUUGUAAAGCACUUUAAGUUGGGAGGAAGGGCAGUUAACUAAUAUUUGACUGUUUUGGCGUUACCGACAGAAUAAGCACCGGCUAACUUCGUGCCAGCAGCCGCGGUAAUACGAAGGGUGCAAGCGUUAAUCGGAAUUACUGGGCGUAAAGCGCGCGUAGGUGGUUCGUUAAGUUAGGAGUGAAAGCCCCGGGCUCAACCUGGGAAUUGCUUCUAAAACUGGCGAGCUAGAGUAUGGUAGAGGGUGGUGGAAUUUCCUGUGUAGCGGUGAAAUGCGUAGAUAUAGGAAGGAACAUCAGUGGCGAAGGCGACCACCUGGACUAAUACUGACACUGAGGUGCGAAAGCGUGGGGAGCAAAC